ACGCAGGGCGGAAGUGCGUCAGGGGCGACUCGCCCACGCGCGCUGCUCUCCAGGUCCCGUCGCCGACCGCCCCGGGCGGCCCAGGGCGGCCCGUGCCGAGUUGUGUGUCGCCUCGAAGCCACUCGGGCGUGUCGAGCCCGCCCUGCCAGGCCAUUCGCUCCGCCUUGCCUCCCCAGCGGAACUCGGGCCUCCACUAGCUUCGCUGGCGUUAGCACAUUCUGUUUUGACCACACCCGGAAGACUUGGGAAGUGUUCCUCAUCCUUAGAGCUGUCUCUGCAAAAGAAUGUGAUGCCGGCGGUGGGGCAGCCACAGCUCAGUCCUGAAGCAACAGACAGGAGAACAAAGGCCUAUAUUACAAGGAUGGCAGAACAGAACAAUUGAAAGAGGUUGAAACCUUUAUGGCAUAAGUGUGCCACCAUCCACCUGAAUUAACAACCUAAAAAUGCUUUUGAUGCUGUUGAACUUGCCCACAAUAAAAACAGU